GUCCAGAAAAGUUGGCUCAGUUGAAUAGAGUGUGGUGCUGAUAACGCCAAGAUUGCAGGUUCGAUCCCUGUAUGGGAUA